GGGGUCGGAAGCUUCAUUAGUAGUAUUAUUAUUUCUGUUAUCGACCGUAUAUCUAGUAGAACGGGGGAGAGCUGGUUCUCCAACAAUCUAAACCGUGGGCAUCUUGAUUAUUUCUACUGGUUUCUUACCAUAAUCAGUGGUGUACAAUUGGUCUGCUACAUCUACUUUGCACGAUCUUAUGUCUAUAAAAGGAAAGGGAGUGUUGCAGCAUAAUGCCUCUGCUUGUAGGAAUUGGUCUGCUAUAUCUACUUUGC
rnacentral:misc_RNA from 1 species